UACGGAGGGUGCAAGCGUUAAUCGGUAUUACUGGGCGUAAAGCGCACGCAGGCGGUCUGUCAAGUCGGAUGUGAAAUCCCCGGGCUCAACCUGGGAACUGCAUUCGAAACUGGCAGGCUAGAGUCUUGUAGAGGGGGGUAGAAUUACAGGUGUAGCGGUGAAAUGCGUAGAGAUCUGGAGGAAUACCGGUGGCGAAGGCGGCCCCCUGGACAAAGACUGACGCUCAGGUGCGAAAGCGUGGGGAGCAAGCAGGAUGAGAUACCCUGGUAGUCCACGCCGUAAACGAUGUCGAUUUGGAGGUUGUUCCCUUGAGGAGUGGCUUCCGGAGCUAACGCGUUAAAUCGACCGCCUGGGGAGUACGGCCGCAAGGUUAAA
rnacentral:rRNA from 1 species